UUGCUAAAUAACUCCUGUAGUUGUGAAAGUAAAAAUGUGAGAACGUAACAAAAGCUUUUGAUGAUGUUGAAGCAUGGCUUUGCCAUUUUUUUUACGGUGACAGCUUUGAGCAAGUUCAUUUCUUAUCAAGAAUAAUAAAAAGCAACAGGAUUUCUUUGUAAUAAGAGAAGCUGAUGUACGGAUCAAUGGUACUCUUGAAAUCACGGGAAUUGCAUGAUCUUCGAAUCACGUUUACGUCAUGUAGGGUUCUGUCAAAGGUGCAAAUGGAUGCAGUUGCCGUAAAGAUUUUAACGAAUGAUUCCAUUUCAUCCCCGGCAUUCUGCUCUUGAUCAACACUGUUGUACUUCCAAGAAAGCAACUUUCUGAGAAGACAAGCAAGUCGACGUUCUCGCCAUCGAUGCAGCAAUCAAGUCGAGAGAAUUGCAUGAACUUCACACCAUGUGGACAAUCGUGGCGAAAAAGACUUCCAAGAAUUUGGACCAGAAUACAGUCCUGGAUGCAAGUUGACUGUGAAAAGGCGUAGUUAAGUGUACCGGCUUCAAUUUCAUUGCAUUCUAUUUUAUCAGCAAUAACUGGUAAUCUGUAUCUUUUAAGAUCUAUAGGGCAUUAAAGUUUUAAAAAGUGAAACUAUUUUAUAUACGAUAAUUUUUGAUAAUUCCUUGUUCUUGUAAAUUA